UUUUUUUUUUUUUUUUUUUUGAAAUUAUAAUGUUUUAUUUGAAUUUUACAUUUGUUAGAGAUACAUGAAGUACCGGUACCUUAUCCCGGCCUCGUUAACGUUAGUAUAUAGCAAUUCAUUGAUAAGUUAGUACUUGUUAGUGCACAAUAUAUAUAUAUAGUAAUAAUGACAUGUAUGUAACGGAAUAGAAAUAUGAUAACAUGAUGUAUUAUAAAUUCUAAUUUAUGAAAUUAAUUUAAUUUUUGCUGCAACAAGAUUAUGGAAUUUUUCAUAUUUGCCUUCUUUAUUUAUCAAUAUUUCGUGAUAUUGAAGAAAUUCUUUUUUGAAAAUUUCAAACAUAUUAAUUUGUUUUGUUUUUUGUUCGGAUAUAUAGUAUCCUUUGUAUACAGUAAAAAGAAUAAUUGUUAUUAAAUCAUUAAUACUGUAAUAACUUGUAUCGUUUAUUUUGUAUCCGUACAAAAGUGAUUUAAUUGAUAUGAUAUGAUGUCCUAUUUUAAGUUUAUCAAGUAAUAGUUUUAUUUGAUCCCAAAAUGAUUUCAGAAAUUUGCAUGUUAAAAAGUAGUGCUCAUAAUCUUCGAUGACAUCACAAAUAUUACAUAGCGGAGUUUUAGUUAUUUUCCAAGAGAAAAGUAAUUGUUUGGUUGGUAAAAUGUAGUGCAGAAAUUUCCAUCUUAACAUUUUGAGUUUAUUAUCUUGUAAAUAAUAAAAGAUAUAAUUUAGCAUUUGUUGUCUUUUGUUUGUGUUGUUUUCCAAGAUGAAUAUGUUGUCCCAUUUUUGAAAUCCUAUUGGUUUUUCAUAAUAUCUAUUUAAGAGGGAGAUGUAAAUGUCUUUAGAGGAAAUGUUUUUAAGUGAUACCAUUUUCCCUUUUUUAUCUUUAAAUUUAUAUUCGGAGUCAAUGGCAACUUUUGUUUUUAUUGAUUCUUCUUUAGUUAGCUCUUGUAACCACUGUUUUGGUAUUGCUUUCAUUAAUUUAGAAUAUUCCGAAAACCAGUUAGCAUGACAGGAAAGUUUAUCUAAGAUCAUGUUUUGAUUAAAUUUUCCUUUAUUAUCAAUAAUGUCAUUUAAAAAAAGAAUUUUACUGUUUAUCCAGUUUUUGAAAAUGAGACAUUUACCGUUUAAUUUGAUAUUUGUAUUGCCCCAUAUAAGCUGCUGUCUAAUUUGUUUAUAUGAUAGAUGAUCUGAUUCUUUUUCAGAUUUUGAAUUUAUCCAUGAUAUGAUUAUUCUUAAGUAAAAUUGUGGAAUUAGUUCUUUCAGUUUAUAGACCAAAUUAAUAUUGUUGAAAUUCAUUUUAAAUAUAAGGAAUUCUUGUCCAAAUUUAUCAAAAUAAAAUUUUGGUAAGACUUUCCAAUUGGGUGAUAGAUCUUCAUUAUCGAUGAGUUUUUUUACCCAACUAAUAUUUAUCGCUUCUAGAUAUUUAUCUAUGUUUAUCAUUUUAAGCCCGCCAUCAUGGUAAUUUUUACUUAUUAUGUCCCUUUUAACUUUUUC
rnacentral:lncRNA from 1 species